ACAUUUUUACAGAUAGUAAGUAGCUUUUACCCCUGGUGGUGAUACAUCUUUAGACAGUGAUACCUCAGUGUUUCGGAUAUAUUCAAAGUAAAAAUGUUUUAAAACUUUGUGUCGGGGGAUUGUUUAGGCUGCUGCACUGUUUGUCCCUGCGGGCUUUCUGUAGUUCAGACUUUUCGGCGUUCGUGAAAGUUGUUGUGUCCACUCACGGCUCAUUUUCUUCCUGCUGUACCUCGAUGGGACAUAAGUCUUUUCACAGAUCUUCUUAAGUAAAGCAUCAAAACUUAUUUGAAGACUCUGCGAUGUUUUAUUGAGAAACUGUUUAGCUAUCUACCAAGUUUGAAGUCAGCUGCAUUCUUACAAGGGGAGAAUAAACUGUUUUCUAGUAUUUUGUGAAAUAAAUCAUGUUAGCCAUUCCUGAGAGGUCAUAUUUGCGGGCCUCUUACAUCAAAGGAAAAACCUCACUGCAGCAGCAUAUCAGUUCAUCUGACUCCACUUUUUUACUCUAAGAGAGAUUGCAUUGUCCCACUGUCCAGCCCCUUUAUUUGCUCUCACUCCUCAUGACUCUCCUUCAGACCACUGCAAAACAUUGCCCUACACAGAAAAACAUUCAGUUAGUAAAAGUAGUCAUCUCAUCACAAUAAAAAAACAAAGACAAUGUCAGAUCAUUCUUACCUGAAGUACUGACUGGCAGUUGCAAGUAUGGCCCUAUGACAAGGGAAGUCAUGUCCUUGAACACUCAGUAUCACAUCGGUCAGCUCUCUCUUCACCUGCAGAGUCUCCAUCCCUCUCUGCAGCUCAAUGGGUAGACCUCCAUCUUCCCAGCAUAGCUCACUUGGUCCUGUCGGGGUCUCUCUCUCCUCAUCUGGGCUGGAGUUAUUUCCAAGAAGCAGCAAGAGACAGUUUGUAGUCCUCUCCAGUGAGUUGCUUUUUCUGGUUUUUUAACAGCAGAAUCUCUUCAGAAACUCAGAACAGCAACAGAGAUGUGAGUUUUUUUUUCCUGUCCUCUUCAUACUUCCUAUUCCUGUUCUGUGAGGAGCUUGUGUAUGUAGCAAUGCUUGUUUCUAGACACUUCCUCUUCUUGUGAAGAGUAAAUUUCCCCUGUUACCAGGUUUUCCCCUUUUUUCAGGCCUGCAGAUGUAAGUUUUCCUCAACAGGCCUCACCAAACAGCAAUAACGACAAAUAACGCUCAGGAUCUUCAUGUGGUUAGGACAGAAGUGUUUUUUCUAAAAUACAUUGUUCCUGUGUUCCAAUGAAUUGCUAUAAACAAGAUCUCACUUCUUUUUUGACUGGUAACUCCAUCAUUCUGGCACCUAAGUGAUCCCACUUAGGACUGUAACUAUGAGAAACAGCCUGUGAACAGUAGGUUGCUGGUCACAAGCUUUAAGAUGAAUGUAGAUGAUAAUGAUAAUGAUCAGUACUAAACAUAGACACAGUGUUACAAAACAUAAUAUGUGAUAUGAUAUGUGAUAUAAUAUGAUAUUAGUAAGAUAUUAUUUUUAGGAACAUUUAAUAUGUUGUGUCCAUUUAUUUCAUUAACAUUGUAAUUACAGUUUACAUGUUUUUCUUGCCGCUCAGUCUGUGUCUUUACAUCUGUAAUGUGAAUUUCCCCCCAAUAAUCAUAAUCAAUAGUCUUGUCUUAUCUUUUCUUAAACAGAUCCACUCAGUUUGAAAUAACUCAAUGCAGCGCCAGAGUCAAAUACUCAGGCAGUACAACAAUUCUGCGAGCACACAUGGGCAGACACCAUACUGAUGUACAGCUAACAGCUAACAUGAAAUGAGUAGAUGCCUCUCAGCCAAAUCUGGAACAAGUUCAUACAUUGAAAUUAACACUGACCUCAACUUGUGCAACUAAAAUAAUACAGUCAAUACUUUAUUUGUAAACAUAACAUCAGUGUAUUACCUUAUUUUUCUCUUAUUUCAUUGGAAGUGCACUGAAUUUCAUGUAAACAAUCUGCAUUUCACAAUUCAGAGAAACAGGAAUCCGAGCGCUUAAUACACAACAUGCUAUACAUUGUCUUUACUGGUGAAUACAAUGAAGGUUUUCCAAAACAUCAGCAAAAGCUAUGGCAAGAGAAAGGCACACAAAAUGAUUAAUUACAGAUAAAAUGCUACAAGGUUACAAUAUGUUUGAAUACAGAUUGUCCUUUAUGAAUCCUGAGGGAUUUUUGAUCCUGAUAAUUCUCCAUAAACCACCUUUAAUGAGUGAAUUUAAGUCUUAAUGGGGAGAAUUUCUCUUGUCACAGUCACAGCAUAUCCAACUGAAGAUUUUUUAGUGUCUUCAUUAUAUGUAAGACAAAAGGUCAUGGCAUGAGAUUCAAAAGAUUAGAGUUUAUAAACAGAAAACUAAAUAUAUUAGUCAUUAGUGUCAUUAACACAUGACAGGAACAGUAUUAAAAUAGGUCAGUAACUAAAAGUAACAGGACAAGAGAUAUCUUGACAGAGAGUCAUUGAGAAGUGUAAAUGAAAGGAACACUUUUUCAGUUCUCUCUGAAUUUCAAUUAGUGUACUCCUGCAGUCAGUUCCUACAAACUGCCAUUUCUGUAGUGUCAUUUCAGGUUCAAGCAAUCUCAGACAUGUCAUUUGCAGGGGGAGACUGUUCUUUCUCGUUCUUUUCUGACUCUGAAACAGAAAGUUAAAAACAGUAAUGAAAUUAGUGUAAAAAAGUGCACCUGUCUGAUUAGCCUUAAUUAUUGUCCUGAGUAUCCGGUGUGUUUGUGUUUACUUGUUUUCUCAUUUGAGUCUAUUGCUCAAUUAGUAGGAUUGGUCUAGUGUCAGAAAUGUAAUCUACAGCAAUUUGAUUAUUGAUUGUUUUAUAAACUUCUGAUGGAACUUCUGAUUUUCUGACAUUUUGUAAAAAAAAAAAAAAAAAAAAACCAACAUUUAUUUGU